rnacentral:lncRNA from 10 species
UCUAGAACUGUCGGGUAGGGGAGUGGCCAUGAUCUUGGGGUCACUGGGGAAAGAGGUGGCCCUUUGUGGGUUCCAGAGGUCGGGACUGAAAGCGAACGUCCCUCAGUUGGGUGGCCGGGAGUUGCACCAGUUAUAAGCCGGGCGUAUUUCGAUCGGCUAGUAGUUGUUUACUUGGUGAGGUUUGCGCCAGGCGGAAGGCGGUUGCCGCCUACCUAAAAUUGGAGUCAGCAGCACUUAGUUUCCCUUUCCAGUGAGGAAUAUCUAAUUCUUCUACGGUUAAGCCGGGAAAACAGCGGCUAGUUUAGGAGGGAAGAAAACCCUUGGGCAAACGCCCAAAGCCUGCGUAUAUUCCGGCCGGAGCAUCCUGGCGCCCAGUUUGGGGAGGAGGGGUGAAGGGGAGGGUUUGGAUACGAAGCCCGGCAGGGAGCGGGUAACUCCUGGAGCCACUCCGCCGAGCACUGCCUGUGGCCCUGGUCGAGGAUACCAUUCUGGUUGCUCAGUGAUUGACCAGGAGGCGGAAGCCAGUUAAGGGGACCAAGGAGUGGAGUAGGGAGAACCUCCAUCGGCCCACGGGCGCGAGUUAGUGUUCGAAUCUUUGGGAGCUCGAAGAGCUUCGCUAAAUCUGACUCCCUUCGUCUAGUCUCUGUUUGGCAGCCCCCGCGCCCCAGAGCAGGUGUUUGGGGCGGGUAGGGGGUGUUUUGGUUUGGUUUUUGGAUCUUCUAAAGGAGUCAGUAUCUAUUGGGAAACAACCCCUAGGCAAGGAGAAGAACCGGGGGCCGGAGCGGAGCGUGUUUCAGAGAAUCCUUGUGGGGGCGGGGAGGGGAAGAGCACCGGUGCGAACCCCGGGGUGCCCCCUCGCCCGACUUGGACUUCUCCGACUAAAGAGGUGGGAGGAGUUCCCUGCAGCCUGCGGGGCCAAGAAGAAAGUGCUAAGCUGAGGAGCCGCAGUCGGAGGACCCCAGGGACCCGACAGGAAGUCUCCGUACGACCCCAACGGAUCCACAUGCCCGGAAGCCCAGGCGACACUAAGCCAGCGCUGGGGAACUGACGUACUCCUGCAGUCGCAGGGCGCUCCAUGCCUCUCUGUCCUCUUCUUUGUUGUGGGUAACGUUCUCUGCGGGAGACCUGAGGUUUUCCAAGGGGGACAUGCCAGCUACACUGGCCUUGGCGCCCUGAGCUAAGCACCAGGACUCACAGCCUAGCACGAAGGCAGGUAGCACCUUCACCCGCCGCGGACGAUAGGCGCUCUCCUGUACCUCCUUUAGCUCGCGAGGCCCGCCCUUCGCGAGGUCCCAGAGAAAAGCAGGCUGUGGAAAACUGGGCGCCCCCUUCUUUCACCCACCUUCUUACCCCUGUCAGCGCCGAGAUCUGUAGCAGAGGUUCCUGGUCUGAACCACCGAUUGGCAAAGAAAGCUGCAGAUUAAACUUCUCGUUUUACAGAGAAGGAAACUGAGGCCCAGACAGCCGAAGGAGAGGCAGUCUAUGGAGCGCAGCGGUAAAGAGCAAGGGGUUGGUGGCCCCAGAAUGGAACCUCAGCUCUGCCAGGUAACCAACAGCUGUGUGACCCUAGACGAGUUCCGCAGUCUCUCUGAGCCUCAGUUUCCUUACUGGUCAAACGGGAUAAUGGGAUACUAGCGCCCACCUCAUAGAGUUGUUCUGAGGAUUAGAUAGGAGAGCAGUGUGGGCCUUUGACUCAAUCAACUUUACAGUUUUUGUUACUACUACUGUUUAAGGACAGGAAACAAGUUAGUGGCAACGCCGAGCUGAAACCCGGGUCUCUCAACGUCCAGUUGGAGGUUUUACCCACCACCCCUCUACCUCUUCAGAGCUAAUGGGAUGCAGAGGCGAGGACAGCCCCUGGAAAACCAUGUGGCGUUGAUACACUGGCAAAGCGCAGGCAUCCCGGCCUCGAAGGUGCAUAAUUAUUGCAAUAUGAAAAAAUCGAGGCUGGGUAGGAGCAGGGCAGUGAGGAUUUCUCAACCCUUACUUUCACCCCGGCGCUGUCCACUGCAUCUGACAGAGCGCGGAGCUGGGCUGCUACAGCCGCAACCCCAGGGACCAGUGCGCACGCCUGGGCCGCCCUCCGGGAGUCACCCAGCGGCCGCGGACAACUGAAUAAACACCCCAAAGCGCUGCGGUCGGUCAAGGGCGGGGACAGCCACACUGCGCGCGGGGCCCGCAGGCCGUAAUAAAGAGUGGCUCGACCUCGCUGCUGCCUGUCGCGGGAGAGGAACAAGCUUUCGACUAGCGCCUCUCCCCGGGGCCCGCGCCCCGAGCCCCACGCGCAAGACAGCCCAACAGCUGUUCCUCCCCUCCCCGCCGACUCCAACUCUUCGGAAUCUGCCCACUCGGGGCUGCAGGGCAAGUGUUUAGGAUGGUUCCCAGCCCCGCGCUGGCGGUGAAAAUUUCAAC